UGUCCCCUCUCCCUACAGUGG
rnacentral:snRNA from 1 species